GUUAAGGUGGCAGAGCUCGGUAAUUGCAAAAGACCUAAGCUCUUUCGACAGAGGUUCAAAUCCUCUCCCUGACU
rnacentral:tRNA from 2 species